GUAACAGGAAGCAGCUUGCUGCUUUGCUGACGAGUGGCGGACGGGUGAGUAAUGUCUGGGAAACUGCCUGAUGGAGGGGGAUAACUACUGGAAACGGUAGCUAAUACCGCAUAACGUCGCAAGACCAAAGAGGGGGACCUUCGGGCCUCUUGCCAUCGGAUGUGCCCAGAUGGGAUUAGCUAGUAGGUGGGGUAACGGCUCACCUAGGCGACGAUCCCUAGCUGGUCUGAGAGGAUGACCAGCCACACUGGGACUGAGACACGGUCCAGACUCCUACGGGAGGCAGCAGUGGGGAAUAUUGCACAAUGGGCGCAAGCCUGAUGCAGCCAUGCCGCGUGUAUGAAGAAGGCCUUCGGGUUGUAAAGUACUUUCAGCGGGGAGGAAGGUGCUGAGGUUAAUAACCUCAGCAAUUGACGUUACCCGCAGAAGAAGCACCGGCUAACUCCGUGCCAGCAGCCGCGGUAAUACGGAGGGUGCAAGCGUUAAUCGGAAUUACUGGGCGUAAAGCGCACGCAGGCGGUCUGUCAAGUCGGAUGUGAAAUCCCCGGGCUCAACCUGGGAACUGCAUUCGAAACUGGCAGGCUAGAGUCUUGUAGAGGGGGGUAGAAUUCCAGGUGUAGCGGUGAAAUGCGUAGAGAUCUGGAGGAAUACCGGUGGCG
rnacentral:rRNA from 1 species